UUCGUCACACUAUCAUUAACUGAAUCCAUAGGUUAAUGAGGCGAACCGGGGGAACUGAAACAUCUAAGUACCCCGAGGAAAAGAAAUCAACCGAGAUUCCCCCAGUAGCGGCGAGCGAACGGGGAGGAGCCCAGAGCCUGAAUCAGCAUGUGUGUUAGUGGAAGCGUCUGGAAAGGCGCGCGAUACAGGGUGACAGCCCCGUACACAAAAGCGCAUGUGCUGUGAGCUCGAUGAGUAGGGCGGGACACGUGGUAUCCUGUCUGAAUAUGGGGGGACCAUCCUCCAAGGCUAAAUACUCCUGACUGACCGAUAGUGAACCAGUACCGUGAGGGAAAGGCGAAAAGAACCCCGGCGAGGGGAGUGAAAAAGAACCUGAAACCGUGUACGUACAAGCAGUGGGAGCACAGGUUUACCUGUGUGACUGCGUACCUUUUGUAUAAUGGGUCAGCGACUUAUAUUCUGUAGCAAGGUUAACCGAAUAGGGGAGCCGGAGGGAAACCGAGUCUUAAUUGGGCGUUAAGUUGCAGGGUAUAGACCCGAAACCCGGUGAUCUAGCCAUGGGCAGGUUGAAGGUUGGGUAACACUAACUGGAGGACCGAACCGACUAAUGUUGAAAAAUUAGCGGAUGACCUGUGGCUGGGGGUGAAAGGCCAAUCAAACCGGGAGAUAGCUGGUUCUCCCCGAAAGCUAUUUAGGUAGCGCCUCGUGAAUUCAUCUCCGGGGGUAGAGCACUGUUUCGGCUAGGGGGCCAUCCCGGCUUACCAACCCGAUGCAAACUGCGAAUACCGGAGAAUGUUAUCACGGGAGACACACGGCGGGUGCUAACGUCCGUCGUGAAGAGGGAAACAACCCAGACCGCCAGCUAAGGUCCCAAAGUCAUGGUUAAGUGGGAAACGAUGUGGGAAGGCCCAGACAGCCAGGAUGUUGGCUUAGAAGCAGCCAUCAUUUAAAGAAAGCGUAAUAGCUCACUGGUCGAGUCGGCCUGCGCGGAAGAUGUAACGGGGCUAAACCAUGCACCGAAGCUGCGGCAGCGACGCUUAUGCGUUGUUGGGUAGGGGAGCGUUCUGUAAGCCUGCGAAGGUGGCCUGUGAGGGUUGCUGGAGGUAUCAGAAGUGCGAAUGCUGACAUAAGUAACGAUAAAGCGGGUGAAAAGCCCGCUCGCCGGAAGACCAAGGGUUCCUGUCCAACGUUAAUCGGGGCAGGGUGAGUCGACCCCUAAGGCGAGGCCGAAAGGCGUAGUCGAUGGGAAACGGGUUAAUAUUCCCGUACUUGGUGUUACUGCGAAGGGGGGACGGAGAAGGCUAUGUUGGCCGGGCGACGGUUGUCCCGGUUUAAGCGUGUAGGUGUGUGUUCCAGGUAAAUCCGGUUCACUUUAACACUGAGGCGUGACGACGAGGCACUACGGUGCUGAAGCAACAAAUGCCCUGCUUCCAGGAAAAGCCUCUAAGCAUCAGGUAACAUCAAAUCGUACCCCAAACCGACACAGGUGGUCAGGUAGAGAAUACCAAGGCGCUUGAGAGAACUCGGGUGAAGGAACUAGGCAAAAUGGUGCCGUAACUUCGGGAGAAGGCACGCUGACACGUAGGUGAAGUGAUUUACUCAUGGAGCUGAAGUCAGUCGAAGAUACCAGCUGGCUGCAACUGUUUAUUAAAAACACAGCACUGUGCAAACACGAAAGUGGACGUAUACGGUGUGACGCCUGCCCGGUGCCGGAAGGUUAAUUGAUGGGGUCAGCGCAAGCGAAGCUCCUGAUCGAAGCCCCGGUAAACGGCGGCCGUAACUAUAACGGUCCUAAGGUAGCGAAAUUCCUUGUCGGGUAAGUUCCGACCUGCACGAAUGGCGUAAUGAUGGCCAGGCUGUCUCCACCCGAGACUCAGUGAAAUUGAACUCGCUGUGAAGAUGCAGUGUACCCGCGGCAAGACGGAAAGACCCCGUGAACCUUUACUAUAGCUUGACACUGAACAUUGAGCCUUGAUGUGUAGGAUAGGUGGGAGGCUUUGAAGUGUGGACGCCAGUCUGCAUGGAGCCGACCUUGAAAUACCACCCUUUAAUGUUUGAUGUUCUAACGUGGACCCGUUACCCGGGUUGCGGACAGUGUCUGGUGGGUAGUUUGACUGGGGCGGUCUCCUCCUAAAGAGUAACGGAGGAGCACGAAGGUUGGCUAAUCCUGGUCGGACAUCAGGAGGUUAGUGCAAUGGCAUAAGCCAGCUUGACUGCGAGCGUGACGGCGCGAGCAGGUGCGAAAGCAGGUCAUAGUGAUCCGGUGGUUCUGAAUGGAAGGGCCAUCGCUCAACGGAUAAAAGGUACUCCGGGGAUAACAGGCUGAUACCGCCCAAGAGUUCAUAUCGACGGCGGUGUUUGGCACCUCGAUGUCGGCUCAUCACAUCCUGGGGCUGAAGUAGGUCCCAAGGGUAUGGCUGUUCGCCAUUUAAAGUGGUACGCGAGCUGGGUUUAGAACGUCGUGAGACAGUUCGGUCCCUAUCUGCCGUGGGCGCUGGAGAACUGAGGGGGGCUGCUCCUAGUACGAGAGGACCGGAGUGGACGCAUCACUGGUGUUCGGGUUGUCAUGCCAAUGGCACUGCCCGGUAGCUAAAUGCGGAAGAGAUAAGUGCUGAAAGCAUCUAAGCACGAAACUUGCCCCGAG
rnacentral:rRNA from 1 species